UUACGGCUAUACCAUGUUGAAACACAGGUUCCCGUACGAUCACCGAAGUGAAGCACAAUGGAGCCUGCUCAGUACCUGGGUGGGUGACCGCUUGGGCAUACCAGGUGGUGUAG
rnacentral:rRNA from 1 species